AAAAAGUCAAAAAAUCAAAUCAAGUUCAUCACGGCAGGAUCGGGUUUAAUCCCACUGUCCGAUUGUCAAAGCAUUUCAUUUUCAAAGCCACUGGAGCCUGAGGUUAGUCCCGCCAGUGAGCAUUUCCUUUUCGUUCGCCACUAGCCGUUGGUCAGUCCCACUAGUGAUCAUUUCAUUUACAUCACUAACAAACAUGGGUCGGUCUCAUUAACACUUCAUUUCACUGCUUUCAUUUGCAUCACCAAUAAACAUGGGUCAAUCCCACCA
rnacentral:lncRNA from 1 species